rnacentral:rRNA from 1 species
AGAAAACUUAAAGGAAUUGACGGAAGGCACCACCAGGUGUGGAGCUUGCGGCUUAAUUUGACUCAACACGGGGAAUCUUACCAGGUCCAGAAAGCGUGAGGAUUGACAGACUGAAAGAUCUUUCAUGAUUCGUUUGUGGGUGGUGCAUGGCCGUUUUUAGUUGGUGGCUUGAGUUGUCUGGCUGAUUCCGAUAACGAACGAGACCCUCGUCGCAUAAUAGAAGGCGUCAUUGAAUUGAUCAAAAGGCGGUAGUGUUCACUUUAAUUGGAAAACCAAGCAAUUGGUCCCAGCUAAAUUGUUGAAUACACGUUUCAAGAUGGCGAAAAAAAAAUUAAAAUUACUUCUAUGCGAGACAAAUUGGAAAAACCAAUUGGAAGCUGGGGGCUAGAACAGGUCUGUGAUGCCCUUCGAAGUUCUGGGCCGCACGCGUGCUACAAUGAUG